rnacentral:tRNA from 1 species
GGAGAGUUGGCAGAGCGGUUGAAUGCGGCGGUCUCGAAAACCGUUGUGCCCUUUUGGGUACCGGAGGUUCGAAUCCUCCACUCUCCG